UCUUUCAAUUACUAUCUGGAACAGUGGACACGUGAGUUAAAUGCUUGAUGACAAGUCAGUUCAUUUAGCAGUAGGACCAGGCUGAGCUGUAGAGCACCUUCAUUGACGCGGAUCCGAGUCUGACAUUGCUGGAUACAUUAGGUGAAAUGUGCAAAGUAACAGGACAGCAGAAUGACUGCAGACCAUGAACUUAAGACGUAAAGAGAUGCAAGUGUUUGUUCUAUGAGGGAACAUGGUGUAAAAGAGGGACCGAGGAAGUUAAUUUGCAGUUGGACAGCCUAACAGAGAAAUGUGCGAAUAUACUGUAAAGCAGAAUGGCUACAAACCAUGAACUCCAGAAGUAAAGAGACACUUGAGUAGUAACAGUUAAGCAGAAUGACUACAGUACAGGUCAUAAACUUCAGAACUGAAGAGAUACAGGUCUGUUCUACAUGGUGUAUUAGGGAAACAGUGGAUGGCAGCUGUAGAAAACAUAUAAUAAUGAGUAUCGUUAAUAACGGUAAAGCAGAAUGACUACAGUACAGGCCAUGAAUUUCAGAAAUGAAGAGAUACAGGUCUGUUCUACAUGGUGUAUGAGGGAAACAGUGGAUGGCAGCUGUAAAAAACAUA
rnacentral:lncRNA from 1 species